AUGGGAGGGAAGCUCUCCUGUCACCUAAACUCCAAGGAACACAAGUACAUCUCAGAGCACAUCGCUGACAUCAUGGAGUCGUUGGCUCCUCUAUGUCGACAUCACCUCAGCUCAAAUCUACUGACCCAAAUGAGGAACAAAGACAUGGAGCCAACCGAACCCCGCCCACUGACCCAGCAUCCAGUAAGAAAAUCUAAAAGAUUUGCUAUUUUCAUAUUUAUCUAUAUGUAUGAAACUCUUCUACCCUGUGCUCCAGGAUGUCGUUGCUGAGAUUCUGUUGGAGGUUACUUUGCCUCAAUACCUAGAUGGGAACUGGACACAUCGCCACCUACAGGUCACCAACAGUUUUACAGUUGAGAGUCGUGAGUCCAGACAGGUACAGAUGUAAAACCAGGACCCAUGAGACUAAAUAUUCACACCCUUCAGUGUCUUUAUUAAGUUAUUCCCCCUCCCUCCAUCCAUUCCCUUGAUUGUGCAUUGUCUGUUAGCACUUUGGUGUGAAGAUACACCAGAAUCCAGGGCCUUCUUAGAUGCUGUAUCUUCCUUGAGGAAGCUCAGACGACACUGUCAAACAGAGUUACAGCCAAUGGGCGAUGAGGAAGAGGUGAGUAGUCAUCAGACAAGAUGUCAUCCUCUAAACCUCUUUGGCUCCCUUAAAUCCUCAUUCUCUCAUUCCCCUGUCCAUUUUAAACUAUUUCUGUUUGCCUUGGGUCGGCUGUGGCUCAGGAGGUAGAGCGGUUGUCCACUAAUCAGAAGGUAGGCAGCUCCUCCUGCUGCAUAUCGUGUCCUUGAGCAAGAUACUGAGCCCCAAAUUGCUCCUGAUGCUGGCCCAUCAGCAUAUGAAUGUCUCUUAGUAUCUCUUUCUGAUGAGCAGUUGGCACCUCACAUGGCAGCUGCUGCCAUCAGUGUAUGAAUGGGUGUGUGAAUGGGUGACUGUGACAUGUUGUUUAAAGCGCUUUGAGUGGUUGAAAGACUACAAAGGCUAUAUAAGUACAUUUAAUAUUCAAUCAUCUAUGUACCAGUCAUCAGACAAAAGGUCAUCUUUGUUUACUGCUUUUUUCUCUGAUCAUCAAAGUCUAAUGACUCUCUUAUAGCUCCCAUCUUUCUACUUCUUCUUCUUCUGUCCCUCUUUCUCCUUCAGGUGUUGGUAGGCAUGGUGAUGGAAGAAGUGAUGCCCUACCUCAAGAAGCAAAUAUUUCACAGGAUUGUUGUGAAUCACAAUAGGAGGAGGAAAGCCUGGAUCAGAGUGAGUGAAAAGGACAAAUAAGAUAAAUGCAAUAUAGGCU
rnacentral:lncRNA from 15 species